UCUUGGUCAUUUAGAGGAAGUAAAAGUCGUAACAAGGUCUCCGUUGGUGAACCAGCGGAGGGAUCAUUACCGAGUUUACAACUCCCAAACCCCUGUGAACAUACCUUAUGUUGCCUCGGCGGAUCAGCCCGCGCCCCGUAAAAAGGGACGGCCCGCCGCAGGAACCCUAAACUCUGUUUUUAGUGGAACUUCUGAGUAUAAAAAACAAAUAAAUCAAAACUUUCAACAACGGAUCUCUUGGUUCUGGCAUCGAUGAAGAACGCAGCAAAAUGCGAUAAGUAAUGUGAAUUGCAGAAUUCAGUGAAUCAUCGAAUCUUUGAACGCACAUUGCGCCCGCCAGUAUUCUGGCGGGCAUGCCUGUUCGAGCGUCAUUUCAACCCUCAAGCCCAGCUUGGUGUUGGGAGCUGCAGUCCUGCUGCACUCCCCAAAUACAUUGGCGGUCACGUCGAGCUUCCAUAGCGUAGUAAUUUACACAUCGUUACUGGUAAUCGUCGCGGCCACGCCGUUAAACCCCAACUUCUGAAUGUUGACCUCGGAUCAGGUAGGAAUACCCGCUGAACUUAAGCAUAUCAAUAAGCGGAAGGAA
rnacentral:rRNA from 1 species